rnacentral:rRNA from 1 species
UACGAAGGGGGCUAGCGUUGCUCGGAAUUACUGGGCGUAAAGGGCGCGUAGGCGGAUAGUUUAGUCAGAGGUAAAAGCCCAGGGCUCAACCUUGGAACUGCCUUUGAUACUGGCUAUCUUGAGUUCGGGAGAGGUGAGUGGAAUGCCGAGUGUAGAGGUGAAAUUCGUAGAUAUUCGGUGGAACACCAGUGGCGAAGGCGACUCACUGGCCCGAUACUGACGCUGAGGCGCGAAAGCGUGGGGAGCAAACAGG